rnacentral:rRNA from 1 species
AGUGUGAUUCGUCACACUAUCAUUAACUGAAUCCAUAGGUUAAUGAGGCGAACCGGGGGAACUGAAACAUCUAAGUACCCCGAGGAAAAGAAAUCAACCGAGAUUCCCCCAGUAGCGGCGAGCGAACGGGGAGGAGCCCAGAGCCUGAAUCAGCAUGUGUGUUAGUGGAAGCGUCUGGAAAGGCGCGCGAUACAGGGUGACAGCCCCGUACACAAAAGCGCAUGUGCUGUGAGCUCGAUGAGUAGGGCGGGACACGUGGUAUCCUGUCUGAAUAUGGGGGGACCAUCCUCCAAGGCUAAAUACUCCUGACUGACCGAUAGUGAACCAGUACCGUGAGGGAAAGGCGAAAAGAACCCCGGCGAGGGGAGUGAAAAAGAACCUGAAACCGUGUACGUACAAGCAGUGGGAGCACCCUUUGGGUGUGACUGCGUACCUUUUGUAUAAUGGGUCAGCGACUUAUAUUCUGUAGCAAGGUUAACCGAAUAGGGGAGCCGGAGGGAAACCGAGUCUUAACCGGGCGUUAAGUUGCAGGGUAUAGACCCGAAACCCGGUGAUCUAGCCAUGGGCAGGUUGAAGGUUGGGUAACACUAACUGGAGGACCGAACCGACUAAUGUUGAAAAAUUAGCGGAUGACCUGUGGCUGGGGGUGAAAGGCCAAUCAAACCGGGAGAUAGCUGGUUCUCCCCGAAAGCUAUUUAGGUAGCGCCUCGUGAAUUCAUCUCCGGGGGUAGAGCACUGUUUCGGCUAGGGGGCCAUCCCGGCUUACCAACCCGAUGCAAACUGCGAAUACCGGAGAAUGUUAUCACGGGAGACACACGGCGGGUGCUAACGUCCGUCGUGAAGAGGGAAACAACCCAGACCGCCAGCUAAGGUCCCAAAGUCAUGGUUAAGUGGGAAACGAUGUGGGAAGGCCCAGACAGCCAGGAUGUUGGCUUAGAAGCAGCCAUCAUUUAAAGAAAGCGUAAUAGCUCACUGGUCGAGUCGGCCUGCGCGGAAGAUGUAACGGGGCUAAACCAUGCACCGAAGCUGCGGCAGCGACACUGUGUGUUGUUGGGUAGGGGAGCGUUCUGUAAGCCUGUGAAGGUGUGUCGUGAGGCAUGCUGGAGGUAUCAGAAGUGCGAAUGCUGACAUAAGUAACGAUAAAGCGGGUGAAAAGCCCGCUCGCCGGAAGACCAAGGGUUCCUGUCCAACGUUAAUCGGGGCAGGGUGAGUCGACCCCUAAGGCGAGGCCGAAAGGCGUAGUCGAUGGGAAACGGGUUAAUAUUCCCGUACUUGGUGUUACUGCGAAGGGGGGACGGAGAAGGCUAUGUUGGCCGGGCGACGGUUGUCCCGGUUUAAGCGUGUAGGUGUGUGUUCCAGGUAAAUCCGGUUCACUUUAACACUGAGGCGUGACGACGAGGCACUACGGUGCUGAAGCAACAAAUGCCCUGCUUCCAGGAAAAGCCUCUAAGCAUCAGGUAACAUCAAAUCGUACCCCAAACCGACACAGGUGGUCAGGUAGAGAAUACCAAGGCGCUUGAGAGAACUCGGGUGAAGGAACUAGGCAAAAUGGUGCCGUAACUUCGGGAGAAGGCACGCUGACACGUAGGUGAAGUGAUUUACUCAUGGAGCUGAAGUCAGUCGAAGAUACCAGCUGGCUGCAACUGUUUAUUAAAAACACAGCACUGUGCAAACACGAAAGUGGACGUAUACGGUGUGACGCCUGCCCGGUGCCGGAAGGUUAAUUGAUGGGGUCAGCGCAAGCGAAGCUCCUGAUCGAAGCCCCGGUAAACGGCGGCCGUAACUAUAACGGUCCUAAGGUAGCGAAAUUCCUUGUCGGGUAAGUUCCGACCUGCACGAAUGGCGUAAUGAUGGCCAGGCUGUCUCCACCCGAGACUCAGUGAAAUUGAACUCGCUGUGAAGAUGCAGUGUACCCGCGGCAAGACGGAAAGACCCCGUGAACCUUUACUAUAGCUUGACACUGAACAUUGAGCCUUGAUGUGUAGGAUAGGUGGGAGGCUUUGAAGUGUGGACGCCAGUCUGCAUGGAGCCGACCUUGAAAUACCACCCUUUAAUGUUUGAUGUUCUAACGUGGACCCGUUACCCGGGUUGCGGACAGUGUCUGGUGGGUAGUUUGACUGGGGCGGUCUCCUCCUAAAGAGUAACGGAGGAGCACGAAGGUUGGCUAAUCCUGGUCGGACAUCAGGAGGUUAGUGCAAUGGCAUAAGCCAGCUUGACUGCGAGCGUGACGGCGCGAGCAGGUGCGAAAGCAGGUCAUAGUGAUCCGGUGGUUCUGAAUGGAAGGGCCAUCGCUCAACGGAUAAAAGGUACUCCGGGGAUAACAGGCUGAUACCGCCCAAGAGUUCAUAUCGACGGCGGUGUUUGGCACCUCGAUGUCGGCUCAUCACAUCCUGGGGCUGAAGUAGGUCCCAAGGGUAUGGCUGUUCGCCAUUUAAAGUGGUACGCGAGCUGGGUUUAGAACGUCGUGAGACAGUUCGGUCCCUAUCUGCCGUGGGCGCUGGAGAACUGAGGGGGGCUGCUCCUAGUACGAGAGGACCGGAGUGGACGCAUCACUGGUGUUCGGGUUGUCAUGCCAAUGGCACUGCCCGGUAGCUAAAUGCGGAAGAGAUAAGUGCUGAAAGCAUCUAAGCACGAAACUUGCCCCGAG